GAAAUCAGUCGUUUUCAAUAACUAGAGGCUCUCGUAUUUCAGUUCUUUGGUCGAGAAAGCGGGUCGUGACAGCUGGCGCAUUGGUUCAGGUUAAAAGUUCAGAUUUUUAUUCCCGUGAUGUAUUUCGCAAUAUUCUCUUAAUGCUGGUUUGAAAGCUAAAUACACAGUGUUUGAUUUUUAUUAAGGUCUAUUUCUUAUCUUUGCUGUCUCUUUUCAAAUCAUUGUUACUGUUUAGUAUGUUUAAAUCCAUGUUUUCUUUUGUUUAUCUUAAUUAAUUCCAUUAAUGUUUCGUUUAAUCUGCUGCUGAGUGUUUGAGUUAACUCUCAUAAGAUUUUGCUAUAUGAGGUUAAAAAUAAUGAUAUGGAAGACUUAAGUUCAAAUGUUACUUCUUUACUGUUAAAUGGGUUUUGGUUUUUAUUCGAAUGAAAAGGACUUGGGCACUGUUUAUUUUGUUUGACGUGAACGAGACUAAAAUAAAAGAUUUUGGGGCUUUAUUUGUUUGCUAGCCUUGAAAAUUGUAUUAACUGUUUUGCUGGGUAUUAGUUCUUUUGUUUAUUAUAAUAAGAGUAGAAAUGGUAAUAUUCA